rnacentral:rRNA from 1 species
AGCGAACGCUGGCGGCGUGCCUAACACAUGCAAGUCGAACGUGAAGGGAGCAAUCCCAAGUAAAGUGGCGUACGGGUGAGUAACACGUAGGUAAUCUACCCCAGAAUCUAGAAUAACUGGCCGAAAGGCUGGCUAAUACUGGAUAGAGCGACGGAAUCCGUAAUUGGGUUUUUCGGGAAAGGGAGCCUGUAAAAAGGCCUUCGUUCUGGGAUGAGCCUGCGUCCCAUCAGCUAGUUGGUGAGGUAAAAGCUUACCAAGGCAAUGACGGGUAGCUGGUCUGAGAGGACGAUCAGCCACACUGGAACUGAAACACGGUCCAGACUCCUACGGGAGGCAGCAGUGGGGAAUCUUGCGCAAUGGACGAAAGUCUGACGCAGCAACGCCGCGUGAGUGAAGAAGGCCUUCGGGUUGUAAAGCUCUGUCGAGUGGGACGAAAAUGCUUGGAGUUCACAGCUCCAGGAACUGACGGUACCACUAAAGGAAGCACCGGCUAACUCCGUG